rnacentral:rRNA from 1 species
GAUGAACGCUAGCUACAGGCUCAACACAUGCAAGUCGAGGGGAAACGACAUCGAAAGCUUGCUUUUGAUGGGCGUCGACCGGCGCACGGGUGAGUAACGCGUAUCCAACCUGCCCACCACUUGGGGAUAACCUUGCGAAAGUAAGACUAAUACCCAAUGAUAUCUCUAGAAGACAUCUGAAAGAGAUUAAAGAUUUAUCGGUGAUGGAUGGGGAUGCGUCUGAUUAGCUUGUUGGCGGGGUAACGGCCCACCAAGGCUACGAUCAGUAGGGGUUCUGAGAGGAAGGUCCCCCAUAUUGGAACUGAGACACGGUCCAAACUCCUACGGGAGGCAGCAGUGAGGAAUAUUGGUCAAUGAACGGGAGUCUGAACCAGCCAAGUAGCGUGCAGGAUGACGGCCCUAUGGGUUGUAAACUGCUUUUAUAAGGGAAUAAAGUGAGUCUCGUGAGACUUUUUGCAUGUACCUUAUGAAUAAGGACCGGCUAAUUCCGUGCCAGCCGCCGCCGUAA